rnacentral:lncRNA from 1 species
CGUACAUAAGGAUUUAUGUUGUCAGCUAAACACUGUACACAGCGCUUCUUUCGGGAUAAAAUAUCGAAAAAUAACAUAUGUAUGAAAGAUUUCAAUGCCAAUUUUUGAAACAGCUAUACUUAUUACACACACACAGUGGCCUUCUAUCAGAAAAAGAGUUGCAAUGGAUAUAGAAUUAUAUCGGAUGAGACGAGGGCCAACUUCUUUGACAAGUAUUUGCACAUGUUUUUAGUAAUCGUUCUUGUUUUGGGAAAAUAAUGACACAUCUCUAAUCAUCAACCUACGACUAAAUCAUUUCUUAAAACAACAGUUAUGUUUAGAUUGAAGUACACAUUGAUAUUAUGUGAACAAAACAAAGAUUUUCGUUACCAUGUCAGAUCAAAAUCGCUCACGCCCGC